UACGUAGGGUGCAAGCGUUGUCCGGAAUUAUUGGGCGUAAAGAGCUCGUAGGCGGUUUGUUGCGUCGGCUGUGAAAUCCCGAGGCUCAACCUCGGGUCUGCAGUCGAUACGAGCAAACUAGAGUGUUGCAGGGGAGACUGGAAUUCCUGGUGUAGCGGUGAAAUGCGCAGAUAUCUGGAGGAACACCGGUGGCGAAGGCGGCAUCCUGGACCAAUACUGACACUGAGGAGCGAAAGCCAGGGGAGCAAACGGG
rnacentral:rRNA from 1 species